CAUAUACGAGAACGGGCCAGAAAUGGUCAACUCUUUGGACACUCGUAAACAGGUGGUGCAUGGUUGUCGUCAGCUCGUGUCGUGAGAUGUUGGGUUAAGUCCCGCAACGAGCGCAACCCUCGUUCUAUGUUGCCAGCACGUAAUGGUGGGAACUCAUGGGAUACUGCCGGGGUCAACUCGGAGGAAGAGUGGGGAUGACGUCAAAUCAUCAUGCCCCU
rnacentral:rRNA from 1 species